rnacentral:rRNA from 1 species
GCUUGCUCCCUGAUGUUAGCGGCGGACGGGUGAGUAACACGUGGGUAACCUGCCUGUAAGACUGGGAUAACUCCGGGAAACCGGGGCUAAUACCGGAUGCUUGUUUGAACCGCAUGGUUCAAACAUAAAAGGUGGCUUCGGCUACCACUUACAGAUGGACCCGCGGCGCAUUAGCUAGUUGGUGAGGUAAUGGCUCACCAAGGCRACGAUGCGUAGCCGACCUGAGAGGGUGAUCGGCCACACUGGGACUGAGACACGGCCCAGACUCCUACGGGAGGCAGCAGUAGGGAAUCUUCCGCAAUGGACGAAAGUCUGACGGAGCAACGCCGCGUGAGUGAUGAAGGUUUUCGGAUCGUAAAGCUCUGUUGUUAGGGAAGAACAAGUAYCGUUCGAAUAGGGCGGUACCUUGACGGUACCUAACCAGAAAGCCACGGCUAACUACGUGCCAGCAGCCGCGGUAAUACGUAGGUGGCAAGCGUUGUCCGGAAUUAUUGGGCGUAAAGGGCUCGCAGGCGGUUUCUUAAGUCUGAUGUGAAAGCCCCCGGCUCAACCGGGGAGGGUCAUUGGAAACUGGGGAACUUGAGUGCAGAAGAGGAGAGUGGAAUUCCACGUGUAGCGGUGAAAUGCGUAGAGAUGUGGAGGAACACCAGUGGCGAAGGCGACUCUCUGGUCUGUAACUGACGCUGAGGAGCGAAAGCGUGGGGAGCGAACAGGAUUAGAUACCCUGGUAGUCCACGCCGUAAACGAUGAGUGCUAAGUGUUAGGGGGGUUUCCGCCCCUUAGUGCUGCAGCUAACGCAUUAAGCACUCCGCCUGGGGAGUACGGUCGCAAGACUGAAACUCAAAGGAAUUGACGGGGGCCCGCACAAGCGGUGGAGCAUGUGGUUUAA